CUACGGAAGGUCCGGGCGUUAUCCGGAUUUAUUGGGUUUAAAGCGAGCGCAGGCGGAGAUGCAAGCGUGACGUCAAAUUCCGGGGCUCAACCCCGUCUCGCGUCGCGAACUGCGUCCCUUGGUUGCGGGAAGGGGAGGCGGAACUCGUGGUGUAGCGGGGAAAUGCAUAGAUAUCACGAAGAACUCCGAUCGCGAAGGCAGCCUUCCGGCCCGUCAACGACGCUCAUGCUCGAAGGUGCGGGUAUCAAACAGGAUUAGAUACCCUGGUAGUCCGCACAGUAAACGAUGGACACCCGCGGUUUGGCCUAUAUGGCUGAGCCGCCAAGCGAAAGCGUUAAGUGUCCCACCUGGGGAGUACGCCGGCAACGGUGAAACUCAAAGGAAUGGACGGGG
rnacentral:rRNA from 1 species